rnacentral:rRNA from 2 species
GAUGAAACUUUAACAGAACCCUUCGGGGCGAAGAUAAAGUGGAUUAGCGGCGGACGGGUGAGUAACACGUGAGUAACCUGCCUUAGACAUUGGGAUAGCCUCGGGAAACCGGGAUUAAUACCAAAUAAAAUCAUAAUGACACAUGUCAUAACGAUCAAAACUCCGGUGGUCUAAGAUGGACUCGCGUCCCAUUAGCUAGUUGGUAGAGUAAAAGCCUACCAAGGCGACGAUGGGUAGCCGGCCUGAGAGGGUGAACGGCCACAUUGGAACUGAGAAACGGUCCAAACUCCUACGGGAGGCAGCAGUGGGGAAUAUUGCACAAUGGAGGGAACUCUGAUGCAGCGACGCCGCGUGAACGAAGAAGGCUUUCGAGUCGUAAAGUUCUUUUAUAUGGGAAGAUAAUGACGGUACCAUAAGAAAAAGCCCCGGCUAACUACGUGCCAGCAGCCGCGGUAAUACGUAGGGGGCUAGCGUUGUCCGGAAUCACUGGGCGUAAAGGGUUCGCAGGCGGAAAUGCAAGUCAGAUGUAAAAGGCAGUAGCUUAACUACUGUAAGCAUUUGAAACUGCAUAUCUUGAGAAGAGUAGAGGUAAGUGGAAUUUUUAGUGUAGCGGUGAAAUGCGUAGAUAUUAAAAAGAAUACCGGUGGCGAAGGCGACUUACUGGGCUCAUUCUGACGCUGAGGAACGAAAG